ensembl:misc_RNA
UUUGCAAUGCUAGGGACCGAAGGUCUCCAUCUGCAGAACAGCUCUAUCCUGGGUAGUGGCAACAUCUGCUUCCCCAAUGCCACCCUCCCCAGGGGAUCCCAUCCUGAGCUGGAGGCAGCACCUAGAGGUUAGGUGGGGGUUCAGUCUCCAUGGCUCAUCCAGUCCUUGACCUGU